CAAAGAGUAGCUUACAAAAAGCAUUUUACUUACAAUAAAACGACGUCUUCUAAGACCUCUUUGA
rnacentral:tRNA from 1 species